rnacentral:rRNA from 1 species
GACGAACGCUGGCGGCGUGCUUAACACAUGCAAGUCGAGCGGUAAGGCCCUUUCGGGGGUACGACGAGCGGCGAACGGGUGGAGUAACACGUGGGUGGACCUCGCCCUCCAGCUCUGGGAGUAAGCCUGGGAAACGUAGGGUCUAAUACUGGAUAUGACUCCACGGUGCAUGUCGUGGGGUGGAAAGCCUUGUGCGGCUGAGGAU